rnacentral:rRNA from 1 species
UACGAAGGGGGCGAGCGUUGUUCGGAUUUACUGGGCGUAAAGGGCGCGCAGGCGGCAGACCAAGUCAGGCGUGAAAUCCCCGGGCUCAACCCGGGAACUGCGUCCGAUACUGGAAGGCUUGAAUCCGGGAGAGGGAUGCGGAAUUCCAGGUGUAGCGGUGAAAUGCGUAGAUAUCUGGAGGAACACCGGUGGCGAAGGCGGCAUCCUGGACCGGCAUUGACGCUGAGGCGCGAAAGCCAGGGGAGCAAACGGG